rnacentral:rRNA from 1 species
UACGUAGGGGGCUAGCGUUGUCCGGAAUCAUUGGGCGUAAAGAGCGUGUAGGCGGUUCGGUAAGUCUGCCGUGAAAUCCUGGGGCUCAACCCCGGGCGUGCGGUUGAUACUGCCGGGCUAGAGGGUGGUAGAGGCGAGUGGAAUUCCCGGUGUAGCGGUGAAAUGCGCAGAUAUCGGGAAGAACACCCGUGGCGAAGGCGGUUCCCUGGGACGGUACUGACGCUGAGACGCGAAAGCGUGGGGAGCGAACAGG